GCAGCAGCGACAGCAGCUGAGCGAGUUGUCGCAGUAGGCUGUGUUUUUUUGUGCCGUCGUGCCAUUGUGUGUGUGUGUUUUGUUUACAUUCACCGAGAGGUGAUUGAAUCGUCGGCGGAGGAGUCCACCGCCUCAAUCAAAGCUACAGAAGCUGAGUUUCUCGAUCCGAUCGGGAGUUUUGAUUGAAAGAACUUCAUAAUAAACAUCGUGCUGUGAGCAACUUUUGGGAUUCCCCGCAACUGCUAUCAGAAUGACUAAUUCCUGCAACAUUAUCAACCAGCUGGAGCAGUUGAAGGAGCGCUGGAUGAAGGCCAGCAUGAUGCUGUUGUAAUUUAGAGCCUCUUCUGUCAGCAUAGAUGCCGAGCUGCCGAACAAUGACAUCUAGGACUUGCGGUUUCGGUUUUGAGCGGUUCUGGCGCCCAUCGAGGAGGCGGACUCGCAGGACGUGAAAGGAUUUACGGUGAGCAGCGUGGUGGAGGUGGAUAGAACGGUGGACGGGACGUAAACGAGUUUCCUGGCGGGUACAUGCGAUCAGGAAGUGGGUGCGAAAGUUGGACGAGGAGAAGGAGGAGGAAAAGAGGACGAGGAACAUGAAGAACCGAAAUCGAUCGUGGUCAAGCUGAGGUCGUACACAGCAAAUUCUGAUGUUCGUUUUCAGUUAAUAUUUACUGAAAACUGCACUACUGAAAUUUUCAGUUAGUUUUUCGCUGAACUUUAGUAAAAAUUUGUAUGGAGCUGUCAAAGUUUGCUGAAAUUUCAGCAAGUUUUCAUUUACUGAAAAUUUCAGUAGUGCAGAUUUCAGUAAGUUUAACUGAAUUCAGUAAUGAGAAAUUGGUGUGUAGGUUCGUUCUAAACCGGGCCAGCCGCAACGCGUUCGCAGUGAAAAGUGCUACAAGUUGUAUGUUAGCAGGUCGAUGUGCGUGCUGCACCUGCAUUCAAAGCAACCGGACUCGUCCGAGUUCCGGUUCUGAUGCGGGAUGUGUCCGAAGUGGUUCUCCUCCGAGGACAAACAGCACGAGCCGGUGAAUCCGAGCGACCAGAAGAUGGUGCAUCCGUGAAACUAUUGUGAUAAAAAAUCCAGCAAUCUGGUCAACGUGCAGGCCCCAUCGAGGCUGUCAACAUCGGCGAGCGACCGUACUUAGGCGAAGACGUACCAAGGGACGGGAAUCGUCGACUCGUUAAAGAUGGUUGGCCGAAAAGUUUCAAACUAGAACUGACCAACCUGCGCAGUGUGUUCAAGUUAAAGAACGUGAGUAUUUUUUUAAGUGAAAAUGUAUUAAAAAGUGUUAACAUCACCUAUAGGGU